AUUGAACGCUGGCGGCAGGCCUAACACAUGCAAGUCGAGCGGAUGAAGAGAGCUUGCUCUCUGAUUCAGCGGCGGACGGGUGAGUAAUGCCUAGGAAUCUGCCUGAUAGUGGGGGACAACGUUUCGAAAGGAACGCUAAUACCGCAUACGUCCUACGGGAGAAAGCAGGGGACCUUCGGGCCUUGCGCCAUCAGAUGAGCCUAGGACGUAUUAGCUAGUAGGUGGGGUAAAGGCUAACCUAGGCGACGAUCCGUAACUGGUCUGAGAGGAUGAUCAGUCACACUGGAACUGAGACACGGUCCAGACUCCUACGGGAGGCAGCAGUGGGGAAUAUUGGACAAUGGGCGAAAGCCUGAUCCAGCCAUGCCGCGUGUGUGAAGAAGGUCUUCGGAUUGUAAAGCACUUUAAGUUGGGAGGAAGGGCAGUAAGUUAAUACCUUGCUGUUUUGACGUUACCAACAGAAUAAGCACCGGCUAACUUCGUGCCAGCCGCCGCGGUAAGAC
rnacentral:rRNA from 1 species